rnacentral:rRNA from 1 species
GGGGAGCUUGCUCUUCCUGAUUAGUGGCGCACGGGUGAGUAUACCAUAGAUAAUGUACCUCUUAGUUUGGGAUAGCCACUGGAAACGGUGAUUAAUACCAGAUACUCCUUCUCGUUAUAAGACGAGUCGGGAAAGUUUUUUCGCUAAGAGAUCAGUCUAUGUCCUAUCAGCUAGUUGGUGAGGUAAUGGCUCACCAAGGCUAUGACGGGUAUCUGGUUUGAGAGGAUGAUCAGACACACUGGAACUGAGACACGGUCCAGACUCCUACGGGAGGCAGCAGUGAGGAAUAUUGCACAAUGGAGGAAACUCUGAUGCAGCAACGCCGCGUGGAGGAUGACGCAUUUCGGUGUGUAAACUCCUUUUAAGAGGGAAGAUAAUGACGGUACCUCUUGAAUAAGCACCGGCUAACUCCGUGCCAGCAGCCGCGGUAAUACGGAGGGUGCAAGCGUUACUCGGAAUCACUGGGCGUAAAGGGUGCGUAGGCUGGCUUCUAAGUCAGAUGUGAAAUCCAAUGGCUUAACCAUUGAACUGCAUUUGAAACUGGGAGCCUAGAGUUCAGAAGGGGCAGAUGGAAUUAGUGGUGUAGGGGUAAAAUCCGUAGAUAUCACUAGGAAUAUCAAAAGCGAAGGCGAUCUGCUGGGAUGAUACUGACGCUGAGGCACGA